AACGAACGCUGGCGGCAUGCCUAACACAUGCAAGUCGAACGAGAUCUUCGGGUCUAGUGGCGCACGGGUGCGUAACGCGUGGGAAUCUGCCCUUUGGUUCGGAAUAACAGUUGGAAACGACUGCUAAUCCCGGAUGAUGACGAAAGUCCAAAGAUUUAUCGCCAGAGGAUGAGCCCGCGUAGGAUUAGCUAGUUGGUGUGGUAAAGGCGCACCAAGGCGACGAUCCUUAGCUGGUCUGAGAGGAUGAUCAGCCACACUGGGACUGAGACACGGCCCAGACUCCUACGGGAGGCAGCAGUGGGGAAUAUUGGACAAUGGGCGAAAGCCUGAUCCAGCAAUGCCGCGUGAGUGAUGAAGGCCUUAGGGUUGUAAAGCUCUUUUACCCGGGAUGAUAAUGACGGUACCGGGAGAAUAAGCUCCGGCUAACUCCGUGCCAGCCGCCGCAGUAA
rnacentral:rRNA from 1 species